UUACGGCCAUAUAGCGUUGAAACACCAGUUCUCGUGCGAUCACUAAAGUUAAGCAAAGGUGAGCCUGGUCAGUACCUAGAUGAGUGACCGCUUGGGAAUACC